AGAACGAACGCUGGCGGCAGGCUUAACACAUGCAAGUCGAGCGCCCCGCAAGGGGAGCGGCAGACGGGUGAGUAACGCGUGGGAACAUACCCUCCGGUUCGGAAUAGCUCAGGGAAACUUGGAUUAAUACCGGAUACGGCCUAGCGGCGAAAGAUUCAUCGCCGGAGGAUUGGCCCGCGUCUGAUUAGCUAGUUGGUGGGGUAAUGGCCCACCAAGGCGACGAUCAGUAGCUGGUCUGAGAGGAUGAUCAGCCACAUUGGGACUGAGACACGGCCCAAACUCCUACGGGAGGCAGCAGUGGGGAAUAUUGGACAAUGGGCGCAAGCCUGAUCCAGCCAUGCCGCGUGAGUGAUGACGGCCUUAGGGUUGUAAAGCUCUUUCGCCCGCGACGAUGAUGACGGUAGCGGGAGAAGAAGCCCCGGCUAACUUCGUGCCAGCAGCCGC
rnacentral:rRNA from 1 species